UUUACCUAUCAAAUCGAAUUGAAAAAUAAAAAUAAAGAUCAAAUUAAAGAUCAAAAAUUGAACUGCGAACAAAAUGCUCCAACGAUUUUAAAAAUACCAAUCAUUAUGCCUUUUGUGCUCGCAGAGUGCUUUCUAUGCUACAGUUGGUAGUUAUCAACAAGACUCUUUUAGUGAACGGUUUAAAUUAUUUGUUAUCUUUUUAUGAUUGUUUUAGCUAAUUCUUUCACUGGAUUUCAAAGUGUUUUUUGACUAAGUGAUUAUUUUGUCAUUAAGUUUACUUUCCGAGGACUUGAUAAUACAUUACAACGUUAUUUUUACUUCUAUUGUGAUAUCAUAUUGCAAUCUUCUUAACAAUCUUCCAAAUGACAGAUGAAAAUGGAUCUUAUCCAAAAGCUCUCCAGAUCACACUCAAAACAUGAAAUGAGAACUGAUAAUAACAUAUUUGCAAUCACAGUAUCCUUGCUCAUCAUGGCUUGUGGACUAACUCAUAUCUAUCUGGUUACAUUAUCAUGCCUUACCCCUGACUGAAACUUCACUGGCAAGAUGUGAGAUGAUUUUCAUAAACGAUAUUUAGAGGAAUUUUAUCAAAGUACAAAGGUACAACUGGCAGGAUUGGAGGUAAAUUUCACCACAAAAUACUCUAACAA